GGACGAACGCUGGCGGCAUGCCUAAUACAUGCAAGUCGAGCGGACUUGAUGAGAAGCUUGCUUYUCAGAURGUUAGCGGCGGACGGGUGAGUAACACGUAGGCAACCUGCCCUCAAGUUUGGGACAACUACCGGAAACGGUAGCUAAUACCGAAUAGUUGUUUUCUUCGCCUGAAGAGAACUGGAAAGACGGAGCAAUCUGUCACUUGGGGAUGGGCCUGCGGCGCAUUAGCUAGUUGGUGGGGUAACGGCUCACCAAGGCGACGAUGCGUAGCCGACCUGAGAGGGUGAUCGGCCACACUGGGACUGAGACACGGCCCAGACUCCUACGGGAGGCAGCAGUAGGGAAUCUUCCGCAAUGGGCGAAAGCCUGACGGAGCAAUGCCGCGUGAGUGAUGAAGGUUUUCGGAUCGUAAAGCUCUGUUGCCAGGGAAGAACGCUUGGGAGAGUAACUGCUCUCAAGGUGACGGUACCUGAGAAGAAAGCCCCGGCUAACUACGU
rnacentral:rRNA from 1 species